rnacentral:rRNA from 1 species
GACAGAGGGUGCAAACGUUGCUCGGAAUCACUGGGCGUAAAGGGCGCGUAGGCGGGAAUGUAAGUCGGGCGUGAAAUCCCCAGGCUCAACCUGGGAACUGCACUCGAAACUGCGUUUCUUGAGUAUCGGAGAGGAAAGCGGAAUUCCUGGUGUAGAGGUGAAAUUCGUAGAUAUCAGGAGGAACACCAGUGGCGGAAGGGCGGC